CUUAUCAUCCCACCAACUUUGAAGUCACAACUCCUCCUCAGCCUCUGACACAGCAUAGAGCAGACGUAGAUGCUCAGAGAAGCUUGAUGCGUCUGAGGGCUCGCCAUGUGUACGUGGGGGAGGUUCCUGAUGUGGAGCUUCUAAAAACUCUUUAAAACGCUUAGAAUUUCCCAAGCAUUAGGAAUGCUGUUGUGCACAGUGGGUCUUGAUCGUUUAUGCUAAUGAGAUGGCUCGGGAUGGGAGUCAUCUGAACCCCAAAGCUCUGGACACCGAGGCUUAGAUCCACAGUCUACGUGGCACUAACGUUUAUGACUGGUGUGAGAGGAAGGUUCAGUUUUUCGCCUUAUGUGGAUCCAACCGGCCCAGUACCUUUCCUGGAAAAACUAUCUUUCUCCCAUUACUCUGAUAUUUAUGCGGAAGCCAUGCUUCUCUUGGGCUGUCUCCUGUCAGUGCCUGAGUGCAGAGAGGGUGCUAAAGCCUCAUUUCUGUCCCAUGUGGGGUUCCUUUAAUGAGGUCCUUGGCUUGGAGACUACCCAUUGGUCAGCUGAGAUUUUCUCAGGACUGCACGGUGGUCAGAGGCUCCUCCCACCCCAUCUUCCUCCUCCUCUCACAGGGGUGGGCCUGCACUGCGGCCCAAGGCUCUCCUGCGGCUCCCUCGCUCUUUAUCCUGCACAUGUGUCUGCCCAGCCUCACCCCGCCCUCCAGUCAGCAUCUUGCGUCUGAUCCUCUCUUGGCCUCUGUGUCUUGGAGGGUCUGAAGUGACAGGGUGGGUGGAUCCUAGGGUAAGAGAGAGUCCUACUUCAGUUCCAGGUGACAAGAGACUGGGCUGAGUUCAGGGCAAAAGAGAGUGAAUGAGGAGAGCGGACUGGAGGACUCUGGGAAACAAGAGUGGGUGGAAACUCCGCCUGGCAAUGUGGAGAGAAGACGGCGGGAGAGGGGUUAAGACUGAGUGACUAAGACUGGGACUAAAUCAUUGUGUGGCGGAGGUGCAGCUCAGUGGCGGAACCAUAGAGGGUGUCAGUUCUACAUGAAUUACGGGAUUUUUUUGUGAUGAACAAUGAAUAGCAACGUUAAGUUCCAUUUGAAUUGAGUGUAACAGCUUACUGAGUAUAUUUGUACAUCAUUAUCUCAUUUACAUUUACUCUUUUCUUUCUUUUUAGGGCUGCACCCGCGGCAUAUGGAGGUUCCCAGGCUAGGGGUCCAAUUGGGGCUGCAGCUUCCGGCCCACACCACG